rnacentral:rRNA from 1 species
ACAGCAGCCGCCGCGGUAAUACGGAGGGUGCAAGCGUUAAUCGGAAUUACUGGGCGUAAAGCGCACGCAGGCGGUUUGUUAAGUCAGAUGUGAAAUCCCCGAGCUUAACUUGGGAACUGCAUUUGAAACUGGCAAGCUAGAGUCUUGUAGAGGGGGGUAGAAUUCCAGGUGUAGCGGUGAAAUGCGUAGAGAUCUGGAGGAAUACCGGUGGCGAAGGCGGCCCCCUGGACAAAGACUGACGCUCAGGUGCGAAAGCGUGGGGAGCAAACAGGAUUAGAUACCCGCGUAGUCCCUGUCUCUUAUAC